rnacentral:rRNA from 1 species
AUUGAACGCUGGCGGCAGGCCUAACACAUGCAAGUCGAGCGGAUGAAGGGAGCUUGCUCCUGGAUUCAGCGGCGGACGGGUGAGUAAUGCCUAGGAAUCUGCCUGGUAGUGGGGAUAGCGUCCGGAAACGGGCGCUAAUACCGCAUACGUCCUGAGGGAGAAAGUGGGGGAUCUUCGGACCUCACGCUAUCAGAUGAGCCUAGGUCGGAUUAGCUAGUUGGUGGGGUAAAGGCCUACCAAGGCGACGAUCCGUAACUGGUCUGAGAGGAUGAUCAGUCACACUGGAACUGAGACACGGUCCAGACUCCUACGGGAGGCAGCAGUGGGGAAUAUUGGACAAUGGGCGAAAGCCUGAUCCAGCCAUGCCGCGUGUGUGAAGAAGGUCUUCGGAUUGUAAAGCACUUUAAGUUGGGAGGAAGGGCAGUAAGUUAAUACCUUGCUGUUUUGACGUUACCAACAGAAUAAGCACCGGCUAACUUCGUG